rnacentral:lncRNA from 1 species
GCACAGCAGCAGUUUAGUGCACUAAGUUUACUGUCCCCUGUAAAAGCCAUAACGUACUGGUUUCUUUUGCAGAACAAAGUGACCACCAAAAGCGGGACUUUGUGGGCCAGUUGGAUAAAACAUAAGCUCAUCUCGCCCCCAAAACCCCGACUCUGGAACCACAACCUUCCGAGAUUCAAUUUAAAGAGAAGAAAAGUGCAAGGGGAAAAAAAGAAGAGCAAGCAGGAAAUAACUAGCGAAGAUCCACUCGGCGCUGCCACAAAGACACCUCUCGCCUUCCCACUCCCUCUCCAUGCUCGCUCCUGCGGCAGCGCUGCACRGCGGCGCCGCGCUCGGCUCCGCGGGCCGCCGCGCCGGAGCGCCGCGGGGUGCGCGGAGUCCCGCACCGGCCGAAAAUCGGGUUUUUUCCUAGAAACUACCUCCAAAUAUAGUAACGGGGAAGGGGCAUU